rnacentral:rRNA from 2 species
AGAGUUUGAUCAUGGCUCAGAUUGAACGCUGGCGGCAGGCCUAACACAUGCAAGUCGAGCGGUAGCACAGAGAGCUUGCUCUCGGGUGACGAGCGGCGGACGGGUGAGUAAUGUCUGGGAAACUGCCUGAUGGAGGGGGAUAACUACUGGAAACGGUAGCUAAUACCGCAUAAUGUCGCAAGACCAAAGUGGGGGACCUUCGGGCCUCAUGCCAUCAGAUGUGCCCAGAUGGGAUUAGCUGGUAGGUGGGGUAACGGCUCACCUAGGCGACGAUCCCUAGCUGGUCUGAGAGGAUGACCAGCCACACUGGAACUGAGACACGGUCCAGACUCCUACGGGAGGCAGCAGUGGGGAAUAUUGCACAAUGGGCGCAAGCCUGAUGCAGCCAUGCCGCGUGUGUGAAGAAGGCCUUCGGGUUGUAAAGCACUUUCAGCGGGGAGGAAGGCGGUGAGGUUAAUAACCUCAUCGAUUGACGUUACCCGCAGAAGAAGCACCGGCUAACUCCGUGCCAGCAGCCGCGGUAAUACGGAGGGUGCAAGCGUUAAUCGGAAUUACUGGGCGUAAAGCGCACGCAGGCGGUCUGUCAAGUCGGAUGUGAAAUCCCCGGGCUCAACCUGGGAACUGCAUUCGAAACUGGCAGGCUAGAGUCUUGUAGAGGGGGGUAGAAUUCCAGGUGUAGCGGUGAAAUGCGUAGAGAUCUGGAGGAAUACCGGUGGCGAAGGCGGCCCCCUGGACAAAGACUGACGCUCAGGUGCGAAAGCGUGGGGAGCAAACAGGAUUAGAUACCCUGGUAGUCCACGCUGUAAACGAUGUCGAUUUGGAGGUUGUGCCCUUGAGGCGUGGCUUCCGGAGCUAACGCGUUAAAUCGACCGCCUGGGGAGUACGGCCGCAAGGUUAAAACUCAAAUGAAUUGACGGGGGCCCGCACAAGCGGUGGAGCAUGUGGUUUAAUUCGAUGCAACGCGAAGAACCUUACCUGGUCUUGACAUCCACAGAACUUUCCAGAGAUGGAUUGGUGCCUUCGGGAACUGUGAGACAGGUGCUGCAUGGCUGUCGUCAGCUCGUGUUGUGAAAUGUUGGGUUAAGUCCCGCAACGAGCGCAACCCUUAUCCUUUGUUGCCAGCGGUCCGGCCGGGAACUCAAAGGAGACUGCCAGUGAUAAACUGGAGGAAGGUGGGGAUGACGUCAAGUCAUCAUGGCCCUUACGACCAGGGCUACACACGUGCUACAAUGGCAUAUACAAAGAGAAGCGACCUCGCGAGAGCAAGCGGACCUCAUAAAGUAUGUCGUAGUCCGGAUUGGAGUCUGCAACUCGACUCCAUGAAGUCGGAAUCGCUAGUAAUCGUAGAUCAGAAUGCUACGGUGAAUACGUUCCCGGGCCUUGUACACACCGCCCGUCACACCAUGGGAGUGGGUUGCAAAAGAAGUAGGUAGCUUAACCUUCGGGAGGGCGCUUACCACUUUGUGAUUCAUGACUGGGGUGAAGUCGUAACAAGGUAACCGUAGGGGAACCUGCGGUUGGAUCACCU